UACAUGGGGUGCAAACGUUGCUCGGAAUCAUUGGGCGUAAAGCGCACGUAGGCGGAUCGUUAAGUCGGGGGUGAAAUCCUGGAGCUCAACUCCAGAACUGCCUUCGAUACUGGCGAUCUCGAGUUCGGGAGAGGUGAGUGGAACUGCGAGUGUAGAGGUGAAAUUCGUAGAUAUUCGCAAGAACACCAGUGGCGAAGGCGGCUCACUGGCCCGAUACUGACGCUGAGGUGCGAAAGCGUGGGGAGCAAACAGG
rnacentral:rRNA from 1 species